rnacentral:misc_RNA from 1 species
UUUUGUUGCGAGCGUACUCUGUGAUGUAUGGCUCUACGGCUGUGCUUCGGGAGCUUUGUGCUUUUGGGAAAUUUACCCUUACCUUUUAUUUUUAUGGCAUGUUGUGUAAACAUGAAGUGGAAAAUUUUGAUUAAUAUUUCGGUUAAGCAUGUGAUGACCUUGUGUUAUCAAGCCAGUAUCUAAAUACUACGUUCUUAAAACAUGGAUAAACAUAAAAGCGUUCAUACAAUAAGGAAAUUGGCUUCUGUUUGAGGAUUCCCUGUAAUGGACAUCGAAGGGGCAAUACCGUAGAUCGCUAUCUUUGCUUCGUAUUAUACGAUUAGGUGAAUGCAAAAGUACAUGACACACACUUUGAUAAAGGAACGGUUACUUGACUGUCAGAUCUAAACUUUAAUGUCGACAAUAAGCGAUAACCUUUAAGAUAUGGCUGCUAAGCUUGCAAAUAGUUCUGAUAAAAAGAAAUUAAACAAUUGGUUUAAAGCAGAAAUGAGCACUGUCAUUACAAAGAAAUAUGUUCAAAUGUAUGUUGAGAACGAAAUUCAAAACUUUUCAAAAGAAAUGUUUAUUUAGUAUACAGUGUACAAAACAUGGUAGAAUACAUUACUUAUCGUGUUUAGAAUGUAAUACAAAAAUACGUAAGACAUUCCGACAUGAUAUAAAACAAGCUCACAGUUAUCGAAAUCCAUCCUUCAAAAAUACGAAUGAGACGGAUUGGGGUAUCAAUUCAUGGGAAAUAGCAAAAUGUUACAUGCCUCCAGGUGGAUAUGAAGACAAGAAAACUGUUGCAGACACAGACUUCAAUGGUAUCAUCAAUGUUGCAAUUAACUUUAUACCAAUAUGUUCGAAAAUCGACAUUAAAGUUUUCGAAAAGGACAAACAUGCCGGUAACAUUCUCAGAUAUUCCCCGUCCAAGGAAAUGGAAGAUAUUCACUUGCAAAACCAUGUUGUUGCUAUGAAGGAUGUCUUCACUGACAUACAAAAACAUUUUGCGAAUAAAGACGACGCACAAGAUGCUAUAAAAAGACUUGAAGAGCUUGAGAGUGUAGCCAUUGAUGUAGAGGGAGAGAUGAAAGUUAGGCUCAGGCAGACGGGAGACACGUAGCAGAUACGAAGUGGAGCAAAGCCUUAAUUAGACUAUAUGCUUUCUGCGAGAUAGAGAACAGCAGACAGGGAAUGUACCUGUAGAUAUUAUCAGAGAAGCGUUAUCAAAGGCGUUAGAUGAAGUAACGUUAUAUUUUAUAAAGAGUCGAGAUCUGAAAACAGACCUCAUUAAGUUCUACGACGAAGUCCAUAGCACUGUGAUAGUUUCACCGAUUGUGUACGAAAAUGAUGCGCCAAUAGUGGAUUUUUAUGUUCAGCAGAAACUGGAACAAGUAGAUCUCACUGUCAGAGGACGUCAGACCAAGGUUGACUCAUACCAAUCUAUGUUUGUUAAUGGAUCUGAAUUAUACUACAAAAUAGUUUUACUGGCAGUAAGCAGAUAUAGGGAAGACGACAUUUGCAAAAAGACUCACAAACGUAUGGUGUUUUGCAAAGGGAGGCAACAGCAAAAGAUCUAAGAAUUUGUCAGAGACAGCUGUAGAAACACUGAAUAGAUUUGAUUUUCUUUUUCUCGUGUUACUGCGAAACGUUCCAGCAAAUGAAUAUAAUAUUGACGACAUUAUUCAAAAUCAGGUAAUUAGUCACUUAUCACGAUCACAUAAGUUCGACAAUGAAUUCCUGAAAGAAAUUCUUCUUCAACAGACUUGCCUAAUGAUCUUAGAUGGUUUAGAUGAAUGGCCAAAUAUGCACCCGAUCAAUGAAUUGAUAUCUUACCAAAAAGCUGGCCGAAAGUGUACAAUGCUUUCUACAACACGGCCUUGGAAAAUGUUUGAAUCUAGAAUACCCAAUAGCAUGAUUGAUAUGUGUGUUGAAUUGAAAGAGCUUGAUGAGUCAUCUUCUGACAGUCUGAUAACAAAUGUUAUGAGUAUUUUAACAGAAACAGAUAAUAGUCAACAACGGAUUAUUGACGACCUUAAGGUUCAAUUAAAAAAGCAUGAUCUUUCAGGGUUAAAAACUACCCCCGUAAUCCUUAUUCAGCUGAUAUGUCUCUGGCUUGACAAUAGAUGUUUUGGACAGUCAAAACGCGAAAUAUACAGUAAUACAGUUGACUUCAUUUUGAAACAUGCAGAAGAAAAAGACACAGAAAGAAAACUGACCUUACAUUCUGAAUAUCAGAUUUCAAGCAAAGGAUCAAGAACCCUGGCAUGUUUGAAAGAAAAUAAAUACUGCAAUCGGUAAACUUGCUUAUAUAGCCUUAUUUGGAAAAGGACAAGGGUCUUCUCUAAACUUUGAAUCUCAAUUAGUAAAAGAGUUUCUUUCAGACGAGCAGUUACAUGCUUGUCUGCAAAUUAGAAUUCUGACUGAAAACAGAUUAAUAGGGCGUGUAUCAGAACGACGCAUGAAUUAUUCAUUUAUGCAUAAAUCUUUUCAAGAGUAUUUUUGUGCAUUUUACAUCGCGUCUUUAGAACACAAUGACUGUACAGGUGACAUUCAAAUGAAAUGCCGAUCAAUCGAAACGAUUCUUGACCUUUCGGGUGUAUUUGUUUUUCUGAGUGGACUGAGUCCGAAAACAGUAAUUCAUAUUUUUGACAGUUUAUCUGAUGUAAUUUUGAAUGAUCAACUUUCUCAAUGCUUCAGGUGCAAAAUUAGUACAUCCGUUGACUGGAAUGUGGAUUACAAAAUGUUAAAGAAACUUCAAGAUAUGUAUAUUGAAUGCAGAACCGAAAAUAAUGAAUCUGGGAACAUUAUCUUGAGAGAUUUUGUAAUAGACGAAGACUGGCAAAACAAAAGCUACAGCCAACAUUUUAGAUAUUUAGUAAGUAUAAACAAAGAAAAAAUUAAGUCUGUGAAAUUAUACAUUGAACCAAAUGUUGAUAUAAGCUCCUACAUUCAAGACUUCUAUCUAACUGAACUUAAACAUUUAUACAAACUAGAACUGAUUGUCGACACACUAAUGAUGACGACUUAACGUCGCUUUUAAAAGGAUCGGCCAGUACUUUCAAAUGUUUAUCUAUUUGCAAAGACAUAGGAAGUCAGGUUGACCCACCAUGUGAAUGGGUGUCUGGUAGUAGUAUCAGAACCAUUCAGUGUAUGCACAAUCUUGAGUCAAUUAUGCUUGAAUGUUUUAAAAUAGAUCACGAAUCGCUGAAUGUGCUGUUUUCAUUCCUCGAGAAAACAAAAAUGACUGAGAUUUGCUCGGGUUAUAUCAAAUGCAGUGUUCAUGAUAUUAGUUGCGUGGGCUUCAACAUGGACCUGUCAAAAAAUUCA